rnacentral:tRNA from 1 species
GCCUCGUUAGCGCAGAAGGCAGCGCGUCAGUCUCAUAAUCUGAAGGUCGUGAGUUCGAUCGUCACACGAGGCA